ACGAGAACGAACGCGUGGCGGCGCGUUUAAGCAUGCAAGUCGAGCGGCAAGGGCCUUCGGGCCCCUAGAGCGGCGGACGGGUGAGUAACACGUGGACAAUCUGCCCCCCGGCCCGGGAUAGCCCAGGGAAACCUGGAUUAAUACCGGAUGAGACGGGACCCGCGAUGGCGGGAUCCGGGAAAGGCGCUGCGGCGCCGCCGGGGGAUGAGUCUGCGUCCCAUUAGCUAGACGCGGGGUAACGGCCCACCGUGGCGACGAUGGGUAGCCGGCCUGAGAGGGUGGACGGCCACAUUGGAACUGAGACACGGUCCAGACUCCUACGGGAGGCAGCAGCUAAGAAUCUUCCGCAAUGGGCGAAAGCCUGACGGAGCGACGCCCGCGUGAACGAAGAAGGCCGUGAGGUUGUAAAGUCUUUUCGGGAGGGGGAACAACCGUGGCAGGGAAUGGCCGCGGGAUGACGUGAAUCCCGGAAUAAGCCCCGGCUAACUACGUGCCAGCCGCAGC
rnacentral:rRNA from 1 species